rnacentral:rRNA from 1 species
GAUGAACGCUGGCGGCGGUGCUUAACACAUGCAAGUCGAACGUGAGAAUAGCAAUAUUUGAAAGUGGCAAACGGGUGAGUAACACGUGGGAACCUGCCUCGAAGUGGGGGAUAACGAUUGGAAACGGUCGCUAAUACCGCACGGUUCUGCUCUGAUGGGAAUGGAGCAGAUAAAGAUUUAUCGCUUUGAGAGGGGCCCGCGGCCGAUUAGCUAGUUGGUAAGGUAAGGCUUACCAAGGCGAUUAUCGGUAGCUGGUCUGAGAGGACGAUCAGCCACACGGGAACUGAGACACGGUCCCGACUCCUACGGGGGGCAGCAGUGAGGAAUAUUGGGCAAUGGGCGAAAGCCUGACCCAGCAACGCCGCGUGGAGGAUGAAGGCUUUAGGGUUGUAAACUCCUUUUGUGGGGAAAGAAUGGAUGGUACCCCAAGAAUAAGUCACGGCUAACUACGUG